AACGAACGCUGGCGGCAGGCUUAACACAUGCAAGUCGAACGCCCCGCAAGGGGAGUGGCAGACGGGUGAGUAACGCGUGGGAAUCUACCCAGUUCUACGGAACAACUGAGGGAAACUUCAGCUAAUACCGUAUUCGCCCUACGGGGGAAAGAUUUAUCGGAAUUGGAUGAGCCCGCGUUGGAUUAGCUAGUUGGUGAGGUAACGGCUCACCAAGGCGACGAUCCAUAGCUGGUCUGAGAGGAUGAUCAGCCACACUGGGACUGAGACACGGCCCAGACUCCUACGGGAGGCAGCAGUGGGGAAUAUUGGACAAUGGGCGCAAGCCUGAUCCAGCCAUGCCGCGUGAGUGAUGAAGGCCUUAGGGUUGUAAAGCUCUUUCAGUGGGGACGAUAAUGACGGUACCCACAGAAGAAGCCCCGGCUAACUUCGUGCCAGCCGCCGCUGUAAGAC
rnacentral:rRNA from 1 species